GCAAACUUGGUCAUUUAGAGGAAGUAAAAGUCGUAACAAGGUUUCCGUAGGUGAACCUGCGGAAGGAUCAUUAACGAAAGGUCUUUGCAUGGUUUUUUGUUUUGAAGGGCUGUAGCUGGCCUCUACAUAGGCAAAAGUGCACGCCUGGAUUAAUAAAGAUUAUCUAUACGUUCACCCCCUGUAGCGCCAGCCCGCUACGUUUGUUUGUUCAAUAAAACGUGUAUUAAACAAAAAGACUUUUGGGGAUCAGGCAAUGUCAUAACAACUUUCAGCAACGGAUCUCUUGGCUCUCGCAUCGAUGAAGAACGCAGC
rnacentral:misc_RNA from 1 species